rnacentral:rRNA from 1 species
GACGAACGCUGGCGGCGUGCUUAACACAUGCAAGUCGAACGGAAAGGCCCUGCUUUUGUGGGGUGCUCGAGUGGCGAACGGGUGAGUAACACGUGAGUAACCUGCCCUUGACUUUGGGAUAACUUCAGGAAACUGGGGCUAAUACCGGAUAGGAGCUCCUGCUGCAUGGUGGGGGUUGGAAAGUUUCGGCGGUUGGGGAUGGACUCGCGGCUUAUCAGCUUGUUGGUGGGGUAGUGGCUUACCAAGGCUUUGACGGGUAGCCGGCCUGGGAGGGUGACCGGCGACAUUGGGACUGAGGUACGGCCCAGACCCCUACGGGAGGCAACGGUGGAGAAUAUUGCACAAUGGGCGGAAGCCUGGUGCAGCAACGCCGCGUGCGGGAUGACGGCCUUCGGGUUGUAAACCGCUUUCGCCUGUGACGAGGCGUGAGUGACGGUAAUGGGUAAAGAAGCACCGGCUAACUACGUG